GGAUAGCUCAGUCGGUAAAGCAUGAGACACUCAAUCUCAGAGUUGUGAGUUUGAGCCCCUCAUUGGGCA